rnacentral:rRNA from 1 species
UACAGAGGGUGCGAGCGUUAAUCGGAAUUACUGGGCGUAAAGGGCGCGUAGGCGGUGUAUUAAGUUAGAUGUGAAAUCCCUGGGCUUAACCUAGGAACUGCAUCUGAUACUGGUACGCUAGAGUGCAGUAGAGGGUAGUGGAAUUUCCGGUGUAGCGGUGAAAUGCGUAGAUAUCGGAAGGAACACCAGUGGCGAAGGCGGCUAUCUGGACCGACAUUGACGCUGAGGCGCGAAAGCGUGGGGAGCAAACAGG